rnacentral:tRNA from 1 species
UGUUCUGUGGCUUAGUGGGUUAAUGCGACGGACUAGCGAUACGAAGUCGUGGGUUUGAAUCCCUCCAAAACAU